AAGAAAUGUUAAAAGAAGUGCUUUAGAGAGCAGGGAAAUUCUAUAGGUCAGACACUUGGAUCUACAUAAAAAAAGGAAGAAACCAAAGGAGAAAUAAGUGAAGGGAGAGGUAAAAGGCCCACAAUAGCCAACAUAAUAUUGAAAAAGAAGAACAAAGUUGUGUCACUGACUUCUAGACUUACUGUAAAACUACAAUAAUCAAGAUGAUGUGGUAUCGUCAAAAAAUAGACAAGGCAGUGGAACAGAAUAAAAACCCCAGAAAUAGACCUUGCAAGGUGCACUGCGUCUCCUCUGCCCAGCAAGCCACAAGCCCCUCCAGGGUGAGAGGAGAGCCUUCCCUUCCCUUGGUCCUCCCUUCGACACAGGGAGCUGGAGCUGGACAGCCCCAUAGGCACUCAGGGCUUGAAGAAGAUAUCUAGAAAUGUCAAAGCAGAAGAGCCUCGGAGAUAAUCUGAACUAUUUCUGAGUUUAUAUAAGGGAAAACUGAGACUGGAGAGAACUAACAUGUCUAAUAUUACAAUGGAAACUUGUAAUAAAACCACAAAUUGCUCCCAAGAAAGAGAGUCCAAUUGGCCGAGCUUUUAUCACACGCCUGUCUGUUGGCAAGAAGGGCUAGGAACCCUGCAAUGUAGUU
rnacentral:lncRNA from 10 species